rnacentral:rRNA from 1 species
UACGUAGGGUGCGAGCGUUUGUCCGGAAUUACUGGGCGUAAAGAGCUCGUAGGUGGUUUGUCGCGUUGUUCGUGAAAACUCACAGCUUAACUGUGGGCGUGCGGGCGAUACGGGCAGACUGGAGUACUGCAGGGGAGACUGGAAUUCCUGGUGUAGCGGUGGAAUGCGCAGAUAUCAGGAGGAACACCGGUGGCGAAGGCGGGUCUCUGGGCCGAUGACUGACGCUGAGGAGCGAAAGCGUGGGGAGCGAACAGG